rnacentral:lncRNA from 10 species
AUCGUCUUGUGCCCAUUGCACAGUUUCAAAUUAGCAUUUUACUAUGCUCUGACAUCUGAAAUACUAAUAGACAAAAAUUAGAAUAAUUGAUCUGCAAAGAAUCUCAAGAAAUUAUACCUGGUCUGCCCCCCAAACAGGAGGACACCUAAGCCAUUUAAGAUAAAAUAUGAAUUCUCUAAUUUGUAAAUCUUCAGGAAAAUUGCUGCUGCUUUUCUUUCUGCUGGUACAUUUAUCUGUCUGGCUUUGUGACCUCUGAGUUCAGAACAUAAAGUAUAACCUUGUUUAAAUUAAAUCUUCCUCUUUUCUUUAUUGGGUCCUCAAAACUGCUGAGUUGAUUUUAAUAUUAAAACAAAUAAACAAAAAUCCUACACCUAGCUUGUAACUCUGCAUGACAAAUUCCAGCCCAGGUGUUUUAUGAUCCAGUGAGAAGUUCUUGAAAAAUGAGAAGAAAGAGAGGUUGAAUUGUAACAUGGAUACAUUUUGGACUGGAUGCCAGCCACUUGAAUAAGGACUGCAUCUGAGCUGCAAGCGGAAGACACAGUAGAUGUGACAUUGACUGUGAACUGCACAUGAAGCAAGUGCAACCUCAGGCCUGCCUUGCUUCAGAAGUUAAAAAUAUUUCGGAGGCAAUAAGGAGCGCACAAACCAUAGUUCCGGUUCUUCCUUUCCACUGGAGAUCCACGCAACCCGGGCAGAGGAAGAGAUUGUUUCUCCCAAGCCUUGGAGCUCAUUCGAGGAGAGACUUGGAGACUUUGUGAGGGAAAGACACAGGGAAACGCUGCCGGCAUUUUCCCAAACCUGGACUGGGAGCAGGACAACACUGGGGGAUCUUCCCUAUCUGGUUCAACCCAUCUUGUGCCCCCAAUCCCCCUACCCCUACAUUUUCUAUUUGAUGUUUUGGGGGAAUUUUUUUAUUUUUGCCGCUUUCCUUAGUUUCUGUCUCCAUUACAACAUCCUAACACUCUAAUUGGCUUUGUAUGGGACAAACAGGAAGUAUUGCUUCUGGCAGGAUGGGAUUUUCUGUCCUGUUGAUUGAUGGAUUAAUUUUUAUUGAGCACGGUGUGCUACCAGCGGAACCAAAAAUCCAAGAUACAAUUCCAGCUCUAGGAGUCUAUGUUCUAAUAAAAGUAAGAACAACAUAUUCAAACAUCCCUGUUUCUUUUUCUCGUCAGUUUCCCUUCUACUGAGACAACUACACAGAUAAUUUAGGACCCCAAAACAUGCUAUUAAAAAAGGACCUGACUGGACCAGACAGCUGGGUGGGGGCAGUGGUUUCAUCUGAAGAGCUUCAGUCAUCAUAUUGGCUGAGUGGCUGCUCGGUGCUGGACUUUAAAAGAGUUAAACAUUUUUCCAGAUUUUUUUGGUUACAUUCUUAUGUCAAGUUAGAUUAAACAAAGUUACAGUCUUGAACUAUGCAGUAGUUUAAACCCAUACAGAAAUCUCUUCACUAAAAUACAACACAAUACUAUAUGGCUCAAUUUCAUGAAGGGCUAACGAUUUUAUAUAGUCAUAUUAAGAAUGUUUCAUUGUCUCUUCAUGUCUGUGAUAUAAGGAUCCAGAUCAUUUUUUUCAUAAAUUAGCAUCCCCCCAAAGAAGUCUCCUUUCCCUAACUAUUCUCUCUUAAUCAAGCACCGAAAGCCAGGAAACCCAGGUAAUAGAUAUUUUCCUAUUUCCUCAGAGCAAAUUUUCGUGCUCAAAUGAAAAAACUGUUUCAUCUUUGGAUCAGUUACAAUAUUUCUGAACCACUAUUUCCUCAUCUAUAAGAUAAAGAAUAUUGGAGAUGAUCAUUUUGUUUCCUUCCAGCUCUGAACCACCCCAACAGACACAAACUUUCUUGUGUGAUUUCUGAUUUCAUUUGCAACCUUACUCAAUUCCAGUAGAAGCUGCAUAGGAGCAGGGUCUAUGUCCAUCUUGUUCAGGUAUAGGCCUAGCUCCUAGCACAUGAA